GAAAUGCGAUAAGUAAUGUGAAUUGCAGAAUUCAGUGAAUCAUCGAAUCUUUGAACGCCCAUUGCGCCCGCCAGUAUUCUGGCGGGCAUGCCUGUUCGAGCGUCAUUACAACCCUCAGGCCCCCGGGCCUGGCGUUGGGGAUCGGCGGAAGCCCCCUGCGGGCACAACGCCGUCCCCCAAAUACAGUGGCGGUCCCGCCGCAGCUUCCAUUGCGUAGUAGCUAACACCUCGCAACUGGAGAGCGGCGCGGCCACGCCGUAAAACACCCAACUUCUGAAUGUUGACCUCGAAUCAGGUAGGAAUACCCGCUGAACUUAAGC
rnacentral:misc_RNA from 1 species